rnacentral:rRNA from 1 species
CGAAAGGGUGACGAAGCGACGCCGCGUGUGGGAGGAAGGCCUUCGGGUUGUAAACCACUGUCGGGAGUUAAGAAAUGUAAGGGUGUUAACAGCAUCCUUACUUGACUAAGGCUCCGGAGGAAGCCACGGCUAACUCUGUGCCAGCAGCCGCGGUAAUACAGAGGCGGCAAGCGUUGUUCGGAAUUAUUGGGCGUAAAGAGCACGUAGGCGGUUCUGCAAGUCGGCUGUGAAAGCCUUCCGCUCAACGGAAGAACAGCAGUUGAUACUACAGGACUAGAGUGCGGGAGGGGAGAGUGGAACUUCUGGUGGAGCGGUGAAAUGCGUAGAUAUCAGAAGGAACGCCGGCGGCGAAAGCGACUCUCUGGCCCGUAACUGACGCUGAGUGUGCGAAAGCUAGGGGAGCAAACGGGAUUAGAUACCCCGGUAGUCCUAGCCGU